rnacentral:rRNA from 1 species
UGAGCAAUCUGCCCUUCUCAUCGGAAUAAGCGUUGGAAACGACGUCUAAUGCCGAAUACGACCUCCUUUCGCAUGAUCGGAGGUGGAAAGCUCCGGCGGAGAAGGAUGAGCUCGCGGCCUAUCAGCUAGUUGGUGUGGGUAACGGCCCACCAAGGCGACGACGGGUAGCCGGCCUGAGAGGGUGACCGGCUACACUGGGACUGAGACACGGCCCAGACUCCUACGGGAGGNAG